rnacentral:tRNA from 1 species
GCCCAUCCAGUAUGGUUGAUAUGACUCUCGGCUUGUAACCGAGUGGGUUCGGGUUUGAAUCCCGAGUUAGGCG